GAAUAUCCUCCUCCACUGCUACCUCCACUUGAGUAUCCCCCACUUGGAGCAUGUGAGAAUGAUGGAGCUGGUGGUGGUGGUCCACCGUAUGAUGGCGCCGGGAGAGAUACUGGAGCUGAUGCGAAUCCUCCACUUCCUCCUGAAGCGUAUCCACCGCCUCCUCCGCCGCCACCGCCUCCACAUCCGCCACCUGA
ensembl:ncRNA C56A3.14 ncRNA